GAUGAACGCUAGCGGCAGGCUUAAUACAUGCAAGUCGAGGGGUAGCAAGAUUGUAGCAAUACAAUUGUUGACGACCGGCAAACGGGUGCGGAACACGUACACAACCUUCCUACAAGUGGGGAAUAGCCCAGAGAAAUUUGGAUUAAUACCCCGUAACAUAGCGAUGUGGCAUCACAUUGCUAUUAUAGCUUCGGCGCUUGUUGAUGGGUGUGCGGCUGAUUAGAUAGUUGGCGGGGUAACGGCCCACCAAGUCUACGAUCAGUAGCUGAUGUGAGAGAAUGAUCAGCCACACGGGCACUGAGACACGGGCCCGACUCCUACGGGAGGCAGCAGUAAGGAAUAUUGGACAAUGGACGCAAGUUUGAUCCAGCCAUGCCGCGUGAAGGAUUAAGGUCCUCUGGAUUGUAAACUUCUUUUAUAAGGGACGAAAAAAGGUCUUUCUAGAUCGUCUGACGGUACCUUAUGAAUAAGCACCGGCUAACUCCGUGCCAGCCGCCGCGGUAAAAC
rnacentral:rRNA from 1 species